AAGUGCUAUUCUAUAUUCAGCGCCUUGUGGGUGCUGAAUAAAUAUUGAUUAAACAAACCAAGUGAUGAAUCAUGUCUGCUGCAGUGUGGGUGCUUGGUAACGUGGAAACACAGAAGUGAGCUGAAUUCUUCCAGCCGUAAGGCACAACGAGAAAGGACAUGUGGACGGAGAGUGGGGAGCUUGGGGCUGCUUCCCCUCCUUUCAUUCUGAGCCGCCACCUGGGAAGCCCAGAGAAUCCUUACCCAUCACUCAAGAAUGGGCCUGGGAAAUGACACCCUAGCCAGACUCUAGCUACUCAUGAACCUCUACCCUGUCAUGCAGAGAUUUGGAGAGACAGGUAUAAAGAGAUACUGCUCGUUCCCUGCCGAAAUAUGGAGACUGAGGAAGGAUCUUUCAAAAACUAUGAAAAAAACAGCAAGAUGCUAUAAAAAUAACAACUCAGGAGGUCUACCUAGGUUUUGGGAAAGACCCUGAUGCUGGGAAAGAU